rnacentral:rRNA from 1 species
GACGAACGCUGGCGGCGUGCUUAACACAUGCAAGUCGAACGGAAAGGCCCUGCUUUUGUGGGGUGCUCGAGUGGCGAACGGGUGAGUAACACGUGAGUAACCUGCCCUUGACUUUGGGAUAACUUCAGGAAACUGGGGCUAAUAACGGAUAGGAGCUCCUGCUGCAUGGUGGGGGUUGGAAAGUUUGGGCGGUUGGGGAUGGUAUCGGUGGUUAUCAGCUUGUUGGUGGGGUAGUGGCUUACCAAGGCUUCGACGGGUAGCCGGCCUGGGAGGGUGACCGGCCACAUUGGGACUGAGAGACGGCCCAGACUCCUACGGGAGGCAGCAGUGGGGAGUAUUGCACAAUGGGCGGGAGCCUGAUGCAGCAACGCCGCGUGCGGGAUGACGGCCUUCGGGUUAUAAACCGCUGUCGCCUGUGACGAAGCGUGAGUGACGGUAAUGGGUAAGAAAGCACCGGCUAACUACGUG